rnacentral:lncRNA from 1 species
GUGAGCCUGUUAACUUUGGUCCGCCUUUUGCGAAAGCAAGUUCACUGGUAAGGAUGACACUGUUAUCGAUAAGCUUCGUUGCUCUGUAUCUAGCAAUACUCACGAUCCAAACAACGGCCAACGACGACUGGCACCAAAGGCGUGUGCAAAGCCCCAUAUUCAACGGAAUCGCCGAAACACGGAAGAAAUAUCGGAAAAGAGGCGUAGGACAGGCUUGCAAGAACAGCGACGAAUGCUACGCAUGGCUCUGCUGCAGGCAACGUGGAGGAGUAAAAACUUGCCAGGCGCUAUCUAGAUUCGGCCAGAAAUGUACAAAUGAUCAACUGAAAGGCGGAUCCUACUUGGGUCACUGCCCUUGCGACAGGAGAGCUGGUCAAUGCUACGUCUUUAGGGGCCGGAGGUUCGGCGAAUGUUCGUAUGCCAAGCGACGCUGACGUGGCAAACAUAAUAACCUUAACCAUAUAUUGUACACUGCCGCGUAUCGACUCACUGACCUGCGAAGCGCCAUUUCUUUCACACAAACAAUAAAGAGACUUUUUUUUUAUA